AUGUGGAGCUGUAAUAUAUUUAAAAAAAAAAAAGGCGGCCUCUCCCAUCUUUGCCAGCAUUUUGAGUUCGGAGUAGUCUCGCUCUCCAGAAAAACCUCUGGCCUCGGCUUCGAUCCCUCCAGCGAGCGCGAAGUCCUUCCUGAUCCGAAGGAUACUGGCGAUGGACCUGGCGAGUUUUUCCAGUGCGACUGGGAGGCUCAGGAAGCAAGAGGGACUUUCAAGAGGCUGAAUUCAGCUCCAGGACCCUCUUGGAAAACGGGAUACCCAGGCUUGUGGGCACAACGAAAGUGGUACCCGACCUGUGUGUCCCAGGGAGAGCCAGGAACCUGA
rnacentral:lncRNA from 1 species